rnacentral:rRNA from 1 species
UCGUAACAAGGUUUCCGUAGGUGAACCUGCGGAAGGAUCAUUACCGAGUGAGGGCCCUCUGGGUCCAACCUCCCACCCGUGUUUAUUUUACCUUGUUGCUUCGGCGGGCCCGCCUUAACUGGCCGCCGGGGGGCUUACGCCCCCGGGCCCGCGCCCGCCGAAGACACCCUCGAACUCUGUCUGAAGAUUGUAGUCUGAGUGAAAAUAUAAAUUAUUUAAAACUUUCAACAACGGAUCUCUUGGUUCCGGCAUCGAUGAAGAACGCAGCGAAAUGCGAUACGUAAUGUGAAUUGCAAAUUCAGUGAAUCAUCGAGUCUUUGAACGCACAUUGCGCCCCCUGGUAUUCCGGGGGGCAUGCCUGUCCGAGCGUCAUUGCUGCCCUCAAGCACGGCUUGUGUGUUGGGCCCCGUCCUCCGAUCCCGGGGGACGGGCCCGAAAGGCAGCGGCGGCACCGCGUCCGGUCCUCGAGCGUAUGGGGCUUUGUCACCCGCUCUGUAGGCCCGGCCGGCGCUUGCCGAUCAACCCGAAUUUUUAUCCAGGUUGACCUCGGAUCAGGUAGGGAUACCCGCUGAACUUAAGCAUAU